rnacentral:rRNA from 1 species
AGAGUUUGAUCAUGGCUCAGAACGAACGCUGGCGGCAUGCCUAACACAUGCAAGUCGAACGCUCCUGGGGCUUCGGUCUCAGGGGAGUGGCGCACGGGUGAGUAGCGCGUGGGAGCCUGCCCUGUUGUGGGGGAUAACCGAGGGAAACUUCGGCUAAUACCGCAUAAGCCGGUUGUCUUGAGAGAGAUGGCCGGGAAAGAUUUAUCGCAGCAGGAGGGGCCCGCGUCGGAUUAGCUAGUUGGUGGGGUAACGGCCCACCAAGGCGAUGAUCCGUAGCUGGUCUGAGAGGAUGAUCAGCCACACUGGGACUGAGACACGGCCCAGACUCCUACGGGAGGCAGCAGUAGGGAAUAUUGGACAAUGGGCGCAAGCCUGAUCCAGCAAUGCCGCGUGAGUGAUGAAGGCCUUCGGGUUGUAAAGCUCUUUCGCCCGCGACGAUGAUGACGGUAGCGGGAGAAGAAGCCCCGGCUAACUUCGUGCCAGCAGCCGCGGUAAUACGAAGGGGGCGAGCGUUGUUCGGAUUUACUGGGCGUAAAGGGCGCGUAGGCGGCCGAUCAAGUCAGGCGUGAAAGCCCCGGGCUCAACCUGGGAAUGGCGCUUGGGACUGGUUGGCUUGAGUUCGGGAGAGGAGAGUGGAAUUCCCAGUGUAGAGGUGAAAUUCGUAGAUAUUGGGAAGAACACCGGUGGCGAAGGCGGCUCUCUGGACCGAGACUGACGCUGAGGCGCGAAAGCGUGGGGAGCAAACAGGAUUAGAUACCCCGGUAGUCC